GUCUACAGUCAUGCCAUCUUGAACAAGCCUGAUCCCAUCUUAUCUCAGAAGAUAAGCAGGGUCGGGCCUGGUUAGUACUUGGAUGGGAGACACCUAGGAAGACCAGGUGCUGUAGGCA
rnacentral:rRNA from 1 species